rnacentral:rRNA from 1 species
UACGUAGGGUGCGAGCGUUGUCCGGAAUUAUUGGGCGUAAAGAGCUCGUAGGCGGUCUGUCGCGUCGGUCGUGAAAACCUGCAGCUUAACUGUGGGCGUGCGGUCGAUACGGGCAUGACUGGAGUUCGGCAGGGGAGACUGGAAUUCCUGGUGUAGCGGUGAAAUGCGCAGAUAUCAGGAGGAACACCGGUGGCGAAGGCGGGUCUCUGGGCCGAUACUGACGCUGAGGCGCGAAAGCUAGGGUAGCAAACGGG